GCGUGCCUAAUACAUGCAAGUCGAACGAAUCUCUUUUAGAGAUGAGUGGCGAACGGGUGAGUAAUACAUAGGUAACCUGCCCCUGUGCGGGGGAUAACAGGAGGAAACUCCUGCUAAUACCGCAUAGCCAUGAGCACCGCAUGGAGCUCAUGCCAAAUAUCCUUUCGGGGAUAGCGCAGGGAUGGACCUAUGGCGCAUUAGCUGGUUGGCGGGGCAACGGCCCACCAAGGCAACGAUGCGUAGCCGGCCUGAGAGGGCGGACGGCCACAUUGGGACUGAGACACGGCCCAGACUCCUACGGGAGGCAGCAGUAGGGAAUUUUCGGCAAUGGGGGAAACCCUGACCGAGCAACGCCGCGUGAGCGAAGAAGGCCUUCGGGUCGUAAAGCUCUGUUGUAAAGGAAGAACGGCGCAUACAGGAAAUGGUAUGCGAGUGACGGUACUUUACCAGAAAGCCACGGCUAACUACGUGCCAGCAGCCGCGGUAAUACGUAGGUGGCGAGCGUUAUCCGGAAUCAUUGGGCGUAAAGAGGGAGCAGGCGGCCGCAAGGGUCUGUGGUGAAAGACCGAAGCUAAACUUCGGUAAGCCAUGGAAGCCGGGCGGCUAGAGUGCGGAAGAGGAUCGUGGAAUUCCAUGUGUAGCGGUGAAAUGCGUAGAUAUAUGGAGGAACACCAGUGGCGAAGGCGACGGUCUGGGCCGCAACUGACGCUCAUUCCCGAAAGCGUGGGGAGCAAAUAGGAUUAGAUACCCUAGUAGUCCACGCCGUAAACGAUGGUCACUAAGUGUCGGGGGUCAAACCCCGGUGCUGCAGUCAACGCAAUAAGUGACCCGCCUGAGUAGUACGUUCGCAAGAAUGAAAC
rnacentral:rRNA from 1 species